rnacentral:pre_miRNA from 1 species
GCUAAGUCCAUGUAUGUAAGUCCUUCUAUAAUUGAUUCUGAAGCCAAAAUCAAUUUUGGGGAGAAGCUUCUUUGAAUAGCUUACGGGUGCCAGAAUUGAUUAUGAAUUCAGAAUCAAUUGUAGUAGGGGUUCCAGACAUGCACUAAGU